rnacentral:rRNA from 1 species
CCUACGGGAGGCAGCAGUGGGGAAUAUUGCACAAUGGGGGAAACCCUGAUGCAGCGACGCCGCGUGAGUGAAGAAGUAAUUCGUUAUGUAAAGCUCGAUCAGCAGGGAAGAAAAUGACGGUACCUGAGUAAGAAGCCCCGGCUAACUACGUGCCAGCAGCCGCGGUAAUACGUAGGGGGCAAGCGUUAUCCGGAUUGACUGGGUGGAAAGGGAGCGUAGACGGCAGUGCAAGUCCGGAGUGAAAGGCGGGGGCUCAACCCCCGGACUGCUCUGGAAACUGUACGGCUGGAGUGCAGGAGAGGUAAGUGGAAUUCCUAGUGUAGCGGUGAAAUGCGUAGAUAUUAGGAGGAACACCAGUGGCGAAGGCGGCUUACUGGACUGUAACUGACGUUGAGGCUCGAAAGCGUGGGGAGCAAACAGGAUUAGAUACCCGAGUAGUC